rnacentral:rRNA from 1 species
CAGGUCCCCAAGGAGUGUUUGGUAACUGGGGUGAAGUCGUAACAAGGUAGCCGUAGGGGAACCUGCGGCUGGAUCACCUCCUUUCUAAGGAG